AUAUUUGUAACCUAAAACACACGCACACCAUCAGACUUUUCCCUCUGCUAUUCUUUUUCUUCAAGAAUUAAAACCCUAACUCUCACUCUCUCCCUCUCGUUCACUACCCAAAAGCCCCAUAUCCUCUCCAUAUUUUCUCAACCCUAGCCACCUUCAACCUUGUCUUUGCUCUGCAAGUUCAUCAAGUCCAAACCAUAACACUAAACAUCCUCCACCAUGCCCACCUUCCCCUUCAAAUCGAUGAGCGGCUGGCAUCCACACCGCCACCAUGGCGGUGGCAGCGAUAAGACAGAAAGAUGAACGGUGUGACAGGACCGACGGCAGAUUCUCACAUCGGCGGCGUGGGGGUGGUGUCGGGUGGCGGCUUGAGUGAGAGAGUGAGACGGGAGAGAGUUAUGAGGGACGACGAGGCGCCGACGGCAGCGCCGCCGUGAGCGGCGGCGGACCUGCUUCCUCCGACAAGCUGAAUCUUGAAGAUGAUGAUGUCCGGUCACAGGUUCGGGUCAACAGUCAACGAUUUUGGUUCGGGUUCGCGACUCAGUUCGGUGUCGGGUCAGACACACGACUCCGGUGAGUGCUUCUUUUUCUCGUUUCGAGUAAAUGCAUUGAUUGAAGCCGGUUUCUAAACUAUUGUUUCUUUUUACCUUGGUGGUUAUUAUGGUCGCUUUAUUUCGAGUUCGGGUCCGUGAAGGUGGUUCAAGCUUCAGAUCGGUACAUGUUCAUGCUCGGGGUUAAGUUUGGCUCAAGUUUAGUCAACAAAAGUCAGAUCUGAUUUGGUUUAACUCGGGUUGACUCGGUCAAACCGAGUCAACUCAGUGUUCGGGUUAACUCAAUAUAGUUCGACUCGGUUCAACUCGACUCAGCCGGUUCAAAGCAGUCAACGGUUCAAAUAUUUUAUGUUUCGGGUCAACAGUAUCAACGCCCGGUCAACUCGAAGAACCGGGAUGCUAUAGUUGUACGCUAGCUAGCUCACAUUCUUGGAAUGACAUCACGGAAUCACGUUAAGCUAGAUUUGCACAGGAAUGUCAAGGUUACUUUUCAAAGAUAUAGCACGGUUGGAAUAGGAGAACCCAUGGGAUUUCGAGUACUUAGCGGCGUCCAUUUUCUAGAAGUCUUAGCUUAAUUGCUUCCGCUGUGCAAUUAAGAUACCUGUCCAGUCACGCCAGCUCUGAUAUUUUCGGGGUGUGACACCUGAGUAAUUCGGGCUUUCAACAGUUUAAAGUUACUUUUAAUUAAUUUUUGUCUUAUUUGGUCAACUUCUUCACUUGGCGGGAGUUUAAUGAUAGUAUACCCACUAAACA